rnacentral:rRNA from 1 species
GACGAACGCUGGCGGCGUGCCUAAUACAUGCAAGUAGAACGCACAGUUUAUACCGUAGCUUGCUACACCAUAAACUGUGAGUUGCGAACGGGUGAGUAACGCGUAGGUAACCUGCCUGGUAGCGGGGGAUAACUAUUGGAAACGAUAGCUGAUACCGCAUAAUAUUAAUUAUUGCAUGAUAAUUGAUUGAAAGAUGCAAUUGCAUCACUACCAGAUGGACCUGCGUUGUAUUAGCUAGUAGGUGAGGUAACGGCUCACCUAGGCGACGAUACAUAGCCGACCUGAGAGGGUGAUCGGCCACACUGGGACUGAGACACGGCCCAGACUCCUACGGGAGGCAGCAGUAGGGAAUCUUCGGCAAUGGACGAAAGUCUGACCGAGCAACGCCGCGUGAGUGAAGAAGGUUUUCGGAUCGUAAAGCUCUGUUGUAAGAGAAGAACGGGUGUGAGAGUGGAAAGUUCACACUGUGACGGUAUCUUACCAGAAAGGGACGGCUAACUACGUG